GGAGAACCAACCCCAUUCCAGGAAGAGGUCCAGUCUGCCCGGGUCAGAACCACUUCUAUAGCACAGAUUACCUGACUGCGGCACACAUUGUUGCAAAACUCUCUGCAAAAAGAACAAAUACAUCUUGCAGCCGGUUCAAUAUGAAUAGAGCCAAUGUGUGGGAUGGAGCAAUCCGCGGCUUCAAAGGUGCCUCAUUCGAUCCCUCUCAUGAGAUGUCAGUUAAGUUCACUGAUGAUGAGGGACACACUGAGGAUGGAGGGGACACUGGUGGUCCCAAGCGUGAGUUCCUGACCCUCCUUAUGGAAUGCCUGAGAAUGCGAAGAAAACAUCACGUCAGCAACUGUUUGUGCCCCAUGGCGGCGUGACUUUCCAGCCGCUCACUGUCUCAAAAUCUGAUUCUAAAUGUAUAAUGUUCUCUAUAAAGAUAUAACUAAUACACAAUUAUGAAUGUAUAAUAUAAGCUGUUUUGUGUAUUUAAUCAUGCAUUGGUCUACAAUUGAAUGAUGGCUUCUACAUAUUUCACAUAAACAGACAAUGAAAAAAUGUGUCCUUCAUGCUGAUAACUAGUGUAUGUAUCUGCCAAUUAGUAUUCUAAACAGAGUAGUGUGUUGAAUCCUUAUGUCUUGCAUUUGAAACAGAUACAAUAAAAAAAGUGAACUUA